ensembl:lncRNA
GUAUUCUACUGUGAGACCCACGUUAGACAGCACUACACAGUACCUAAACUCCAGAGACACAUACUGGUAGAGGUGACUGGUGACCUGGAGGAGAAAAUCUGUCAGAAGCAUCACAGACCUCUGGAGGUGUUCUGCAGGACAGACCAGAUGUUUAUCUGUAGUCUCUGUUCAGCCACAAAGCACGGAGGACAUGAUACAUACCAUGAUCAGAUGAAGAAAUCAGAAAUACAGAGUUUUGAAAGAAACAAAAACCAAAUUCUGACCUCAGACUAUGAGGUCGGUCCUCCUGAGAACAUCCAGGCCCAGUUGCUGACAUCUGACUCUGUGUCUCUGAGCUGGAGUUCUCCUCAGCGGGCCGAAGGACCACAGAAGUUCAGAGUGACCUGGGAAUGUGGUAGGGAGAAAAUCUCCUCAAGAGUGAAAGGAGGUCAUCUUGAAAUCACCAGCCUGAAACCUGGUGAGAAGUACCUGUUCACCGUGGCCACAGAGGGAGAUGAUGGUCAACUAAGCAGAUGUAUUUCUACAUCUUUAACCACAGUGGUCCCACCCAGAGACUUAAAGGUUGAUAAUGUGGAAUCCACCUCCUUCAGUCUCCACUGGACCAAGGGUAAAGGAAUGGAGACAGUCCCACAGCGUUUCCUCAUAUCCUACAGCAGCCCAGGAACCGACCCCCAUGCAGUGAAUACAGAGGGGUGUUACUGGACCUUCUCAAACCUGCAACCUGGCACACAGUACACUGUUGAUGUUGUAACUGUCCUGACCAAUGGGGAAGAGAGUGAACCUGUUUCUAUUACCAUCUGCACAGGUA